GGUCUUAUAUUCAUUUUGUGAUAAUAGAAUGCAAUUCUAUAGGGGUGGUAGUUUGACCACUAAGGUCU
rnacentral:tRNA from 1 species